rnacentral:lncRNA from 1 species
CCCACCCAUCCAUCCACCACCCAUCCAUCCAUCCAUCCAUCCAUUUAUCUAUCCACUCACCCACCUACCCAUUCAUCCACCCAUCCAUCCACAACUAGUCACAACUAACCUACUCUGUCCCAGGUUAUGUUUAAAUCCAGAAGAUGGAGGUAGAAAAAUAGGUUAAGAGGCGUGUUCAUAGCUAGGGAAGUUUCAUGCCCACUCGUUUGCUAGACUCAGAGUCAAGCUAACAAGAACAGAGGCUUAGAACAGACAAGAUGGGUUGGGGAAGAGAGGGGCUAUGAAGAGAGAGCUGGAAAGGAGGGGGCCUUCCUACUAGAAGCUUGGGAGGAAAAACACCAGGCGUGGCCUGGGAACUCAAGGAGGCCCUGCUGCCUGGCUGGGUGGGGUAAGCAGGAGGUGGUGCGUGUUAACAGAGGGAGUGCCAGCUAAGACAGGUUCAACACCUGUGAUCUCCCGACUGACCCCACCCCUCACUCAGCAAGCAAGAGAGAUCUGAGGGACAGGCUGGGACAUGAGGCUGGGCUGGACUGUGGGGACCUUGAAGUUGGAGACUUGAUCCUGCGAGAGGUGCCCUCUCUCUUGUGUCCAAGUCAUGAGUCAGUCCAGGGGGAUUUGGAGAGUCUGUUCCUGUGUUUCUUUUUUCUUUUCUUUUCCUUUUUUUUUUCCCCUAGGGCCGCACCCACAACAUAUGGAAGUUCCCAGGCUAGGGGCUGAACCGGAGCUGCAGCUGCCGGCCACAGCCACAGCCACAGCCACACCAGAUCUGAACCACAUCUGCGACCUGGCUCACUGCACCACAGCCCAAGGCAAUGUGGGAUCCUUAACGCACUGAGCAAGGCCCGGGAUUGAACCCUCGUCCUCAUGGAUACUAGUCAAGUUCAUUCCCACUGAGCCACAAUGGAACUCCCGCUAAGUGCUUCUAAAAUGUGCUCUCUGCCUAGCUUGCUUCCAGUGGCCCCAGGAAUUCUGCCUCCUCCAUCCUUCACGUCUCUUGCCCAGACAUCAAAUAUCUACCCGUGUUCACUUCCUGGUUGUUUCUUGGUGGUGGUUUUUGAACUAUGUGUGUGGCCAAGUUAUAAGUAACUUAUUUCAUUUAAGAAGUCAAAACAUGCUUACCCGCCUCGCCAGAUACGUGGUGCUUAUCUCCGAUGGCACAAACACUGCCCCGUACUGUUCCUUCCGGUUGUGUCUCCCCGCGCAGUUAAUCAGGAAGAAAUCCACCCUUUGCAAUGACCUCUUCUGCUGGCUCUCUUUCCUCCAUGUAAUUAGCUCCUUGUCACCUCCCGGAGUGUGGCACCAGCUCGUGUUAGGCCAUCGAACCCAGAGUCCAUCAGCAGCUUUCCACACAGACUCUGCUCUCUGGCCUCUGGCCAGACCCUGGGGCGGGGCCGCAGCCUUCCUGGAGGCGGAAGUGCUUGACGGAGACAAUGGCCAGGGUAGAAGCCAGCCGUGAAGACUUUGGGUGUUGCCGAUUCCCAAGCCAUCCCCCAGAUUAUUAACUGGAAAAAGGGAAACUCAGUUGCCUUCCCCAAGUGUUUACCACAGCUGAGCCAUCUUCACUUCCUACAGACGCUACUUAGCAACAGAAAGAGUGGGUACCGAGUGGCCAUUCUUUUCUCUGAUUCGGAACUCAUGGGAUUUGAGAACCCCUGUCCUUCACAUCCCAUGGUUGAAAUAAAGGAUUUUUCUUUUUUAUUUAAGAAAGUGAGACAAGUGGUGAUAGAGACAGAAAUAAUGAGGUAAAUACUGAAAGCCAGUCAUAGUGGUAGUUCUCAGAGAACACACAAAUGUCAGCACAGUUAUUAAUGAAAAGUGUAUCUAUUAGGUGUUUUUGAUAACUUUUGAGGGAGGGAGAUUGCGUGUUCUCUUUAGAUCAGCAAAGUAGUAAUGGAUUAUGAGAAAGAAACGGAAGAAACAAACAUUCCAGUGGAUGUGAAAAUUAGGAUGUUUGAACAUAGAACUGCCAACAAGAGACCCCGUUAUAUUCAACUUCAAACAAAUAAUUUUUUAAUGUAUGUCCCAAAUAUUGUAUACUUAAAAAUUCCUUGUUGUUUAUCUCAAGUGCAAAUUUUGCUGGAUAUUCUGUAUUUUUAUUUGUUAAAUCUGACAACCCUACUAUUGCAGUAAGAGUAAAAACUCUCCAUAAGCUUGGCAUGAGAAGAACAUUUAGAACAUAAGAGAAAGGUCAGUGAGAGGUGAUCCAGUCAACACCACAAAGGGUUUUUAUGGAGGAUGUUGGAUAAACAUGUGGUAAAGCAUGAGCUUCUUGCUCCUAUGAAAGGAUGGCUUUGUUUUUUGGCAGGAUGGAGGCUGCCCUCAUAACCCCAAUUUAUAGCCAGAUUGGAAAACUCUCCCAGAGUAGAACUGGUUUCCAUGGGAACACCCUGGCUGCCAAAUACUCAAGAAUCAGGUGCACAGAGCUUGGAGUAGAUGUCCAGGGAAGAAGGGCACGUUGGGUGAGGAAGUUGGUGGAUGAAUUCUCUUAACUUUAGCAUCGAAAAAGUGGGUGACUCUUUAGUAAGACUAAUUAGCAACCCACAGUGUUCCUCUCUGCCCUCAUUGGCCAAUGUUCAGUUUUUCAAGUAUAAAAAUGGGCAGAUCUUCAGGCAGAGUCACUCAGCUGGUUAGUGGCAGAAAAACUGGGACAAGAAGUUCCCAGGCAGGAGACUGUCAUGCUGUGCCAUAUGGCUUGGCACAUAGUUCCAUCCAAAAAUGUGCUUUCUUUUUUGAUAGCUAAGACUUUCAUUCUCAUGGGGUCAAAUAAAAUAAUUUUUCCAGAGGCAUAAUUCUUUAUGCAUUGCGUAUCAGACAAAUCACACAGCUCCCAUUUUCUCAGUUUUGGGGUUUGGCCAAGUUGAUUUAUUUUGAAAAACACUGCAUUGCAGAACCAUUCCCGCUACUUUCUUCUUUAUCUGCAAAUUUUUGAAUAUCUAAAUGAACUUGGUCCCUGCCAAUUUAGAUAUGAUUUAGCUGGAAAUUUUUAAUCUCUUCUAUUUUUCAUCCUGUCUCCAUGAAGUGAUGGUCCGUAACCAUCAUUUAAACAUAACUUUUAGUUGGGGGUUAAAAUAUGCUUAGGGAAUUGCCAUGAAGUUUGAUUUCUGUUUAUUGUAUUUCUGUGUCUUUGAUAAAAUUUGGAAACAUUCCCAAAGAUCUUUGGGUAUUUGGUAGGUUUUAAAAAUUACAUAAAUCAAUGAAUGAAUCUGGGUCUUGAACGGAAUAUCUCCUACAGGAGAGGAAAAAAAACCAUGAACCAGGCUGAGCUGCCUGACUUUUGCCUUGAUGCACAGCCCUCCGUCACUCAGCUCAGGUCUACCAACCAGAAGCACUAGGCAAUGCUUUAGAAAUGCCACCCAAAGUGUGCCAUUAGCCACAACAAAAUCCCUGAUCACACCUUAGAACUCCUUUAUCCUCACAGAUGCCUUUGGCUGGAAUUCUAGAAGAAACUACCAAAUUUCAGAACUCAUCCUGUCAUCCUUUAGAUGUGUGAUAAGAAGAAAUGCUUGCUUUGAUAUGAGGAAACACAAUCUGCCUUUACUCAGAAGGUGUAUUGUAUAAACUCACACGGCCUACAGUGGUAUGGGGUGGACUUGGGACAGGAAAUACUUUCUGAGCCCCUGGGAGUUCCCGUCGUGGCUCAGUGGAAACGACUCUGACUAGCAUCCAUGAGGACACAGGUUCGAUCCCUGGCCUCGCUCGGUGGGUUAAGGAUCCGGCAUUGCCGUGAGCUGUGUUGAAGUUCUCAGACAUGGCUCGGAUCCUGCAUUGCUCUGGCUGUGGCGUAUGCCAGCGGCUACGGCUCCAAUUCGACCCCUAGCCUGGGAACUUCCAUAUGCCAUGGGUA